AAUAAGAAGUAAUAAAUUACAUUUAGUUUCGACCUAAAACUUUGAAAUAGUAUUUCCUUAUUUUU
rnacentral:tRNA from 1 species